ensembl:lncRNA
UUUUUUUAUAUUGCCAUCUGUUUUUUAGAUGUAUGCUUGACCAGUUGACUGAGGAAGAAUGAACAGUUUCUCUUGAAACCAGGGAGCAAUGGACAGCACAGCACAUCUGAGUCAGUUAUGGCAGACUGUUAUAAACAAAUUACAGUUGUGAGCUGACAUUACUUGGUCAGAGGCUUUAGUUCUUCCGGGCUGGUUCUGAGUACUUGUUCUAGUUAGGUCCUAUUGCCCAGUAUGAAUCAGGAUGAAUUUUCAUAUGUUUCUCCUUUUCUUCCAUCAUUCCACAUGAAACAAUUUACUUAUUAUGUAACCUAAAGGGUAUAUGGUUUUCAAAGUCUCUUAAACUUCUAGCCCUACUUGAGUGGCUGAAUCAAUGAGAAUCCUGAAAUAAUGGAUGCCAGUAGCUGGAAGUUCCGAGGUAAAGCAGUUCAGAGUUGGGGAGGUUUUGCUUGACUUUAAUGGAAAAAAAAAAGUAAUUUUUAAUUUUUACUAAAGAUCGAUGUCACAACACCAUCCAUCAUGCCUAUAUUGUUCAAAGUUCUUUGUUCUAUUAUGUGGGACUUUAGUAAGAGAUGCAGGUAAUUGUAUGUGUCAUUACUUGAAUAGAUGUCAGAGAGUAAUUAUUAGAUAGAGAUGAGUAAGAGAGAAAAAUGGUGCAAAAGAUGAGUGAUACAGCCAGCCCCAGGGAUCAAAAUUAAGCCCAUGGCCUUGAAGCAGAGGCUGGGGUAAGCCCUGCCAGCUGCCACAAAUACAGGCACAGAGGGAGGAAUAUAUUUUCUUGACAGUGAGAGGCAGGGCCAGAUGCUCCAUUUCUGUUCUGUUUGUCAGAGAAGAGGCCAUCCCCCUGUGAAAAAUAGUCAUACAUGGGGGCUCGGCCAAGUUCCGGCUCCAUCCCUGGGGGGGUGUACUGUUUUUUUGGGAGACAGUGAUGCUCAAAAUCCCCUCCUCUUCUUAUCCUGGAAGGGAUGUGAGGACAGUUUUUUCACCAUUGAUUAAUGGUGACACAGAUAUACAGCAAUUUGGUUAAGCAUUUCAGGAGUGCUCAUUUGGUGGAGGUGAUUGUGGCUGCUUAGUGCUUAACCCCAUCUGACAAGAAGAGGUAGUGGUGUGGACAGAUCAGUUCUCAUUUGUGAUAUUUGCAUGGUUGCAUCAGGAAACAUGUUUUAAGUCACAUUUCUAGCAGCAUGCCUGCCCCCUCUGCUGAUGACAUAUUCAACCCAAUGUGUUCUCUCACCUUCUCACCAGUGCUAAAUUAAGUUUGCUACUCAGGCUAGACAUUUAU